rnacentral:rRNA from 1 species
GAUGAACGCUGGCGGCGUGCUUAACACAUGCAAGUCGAACGAAGCGUUUUGGAUGGAUUUCUUCGGAUUGAUAUCCUUAGUGACUGAGUGGCGGACGGGUGAGUAACGCGUGGGUAACCUGCCUCAUACAGGGGGAUAACAGUUAGAAAUGGCUGCUAAUACCGCAUAAGCGCACAGUACCGCAUGGUACCGUGUGAAAAACUCCGGUGGUAUGAGAUGGACCCGCGUCUGAUUAGCUAGUUGGCAGGGUAACGGCCUACCAAGGCGACGAUCAGUAGCCGACCUGAGAGGGUGAUCGGCCACAUUGGGACUGAGACACGGCCCAAACUCCUACGGGAGGCAGCAGUGGGGAAUAUUGCACAAUGGGGGAAACCCUGAUGCAGCGACGCCGCGUGAAGGAAGACGUAUUUCGGUAUGUAAACUUCUAUCAGCAAGGAAGAUGAUGACGGUACUUGACUAAGAAGCCCCGGCUAACUACGUGCCAGCAGCCGCGGUAAUACGUAGGGGGCAAGCGUUAUCCGGAUUUACUGGGUGUAAAGGGAGCGUAGGCGGCCAUGCAAGUCAGAAGUGAAAGCCCGGGGCUCAACCCCGGGACUGCUUUUGAAACUGUAAGGCUAGAUUGCCGGAGAGGUAAGCGGAAUUCCUAGUGUAGCGGUGAAAUGCGUAGAUAUUAGGAGGAACACCAGUGGCGAAGGCGGCUUACUGGACGGUGAAUGACGCUGAGGCUCGAAAGCGUGGGGAGCAAACAGG